rnacentral:rRNA from 1 species
UUCGGUGCCCAUAGCGAUCGGGAAACACCUGUUCCCAUCCCGAACACAGAAGUUAAGCCGAUCUACGGUUACAAUACUGCAGCUUAAGCUGUGGGAAAAUAGCAAGGUGCCGAAU